AAAGAAAGAAAAAGAAAAAGAAACACCAUGGAAUUCUUGAAAGAGGUUUCUAUUGAAUAUCUAGCAUGUAUGAGGCUUUGGAGAUAAAUCAGACAUUGAACAAAAUAUUCUCUAUUCCUGUGCAACUUACGUUCUGGGCACCUGCAAAUGCAUAAAUACAAGCACUAUAUAAACACACAUGGUAUAUGUGUAUGUGUUUGCAUGUGUUCUGGGGGUUAACUGUUAUGAAUCACAUACACACACAGACUGUAUGUGUUUGCAUGUGUCCUAUGGGGACACAUAGCAAUUAUGCUUUGAAUUACACACACACAGUAUAGACACACAGAAUGUACAUAUGUGUUUGCAUGUAUCCUUUGGGGAUAACUGCUAUGAAUGACUCACACACUACAUAUAUAUACAUACACACGUGUACGUGCACAAUGUACAAACGUAUUUGCAUAUGUCUUAGAGGAACGACUGCUAUGAGUGUACAUAUAUAUUUGCAUGUGUCUUAGGGGAAAACUGCUGUGAAUGUGCACACACACUAUACACACAGAGUACACAUAUGUGUUUCCAUGUGUCCUAUGGGGAUAACUGCUGAAUUAAGCUGGCAAGGUAAGGCAAAGGGAGUGCGGAUGGUAGAGAGAAUUGUUAUCUUGUGCAUGGUCAUAGAAAAUGCUUCUCUCGUAAGGUGCCAUUUUGAAUAAAGACCUCAAGGAUAUGAGGGAGUGAGCCAUACAGAUACCUGCAGGAAGAAUUUUCCAAGUGGAGGAAAGAACAGCGCAAAUGCCCAGGGGGAGAAGUUUAUUGAGGUGUGAGACAUAUUUUAAAGGUAAAGAGAGAAUUUGAUGAUGGUUUACAUACAGUUUUUGGCCUAAUAACAGGAAAAGCACGGUUGUCAUUCAUUGUAAUGAGAACAAUGGAGGAGGACUAAGUUUUGCUGGAGAAGGAAAAAAUAGCUAUCCGAGUGGAAAAAUUCAGUAGAGACUGAAUUUUAGAAUGCAGAGUUCCUAGGACAGUGGUGGUAAACCUAUGGCGUGCAUGCUGCAGCGGGCUGUUUGUAGCACUCAAAGCUCUAAAAGGUUCACCAUCAAUGUCCCAGGAUUUAUAAAACAGAGCGCAGCUGGUGAUGUCACUUUAAGUUCUCUAGGCAGCAAGUGAUGACACAGAAGAGAUCUAAGAACUGAACCCUUGAGAACACCAGUGUGCAAGAGGAGGAACACUCUCUAAGAAGGACAUGAAGAAAAGCCAGAGAGGGGGUCAAGGAUGGAGCAAGGAGUUCUGUCACACACUGGGGACGGACUGAAAAAGAUGCUGACUGAGAGCUAAGCACGGAUUCUGUAGUGGCAUGUAAGUCACUGAUGACCUGGAAAAGGGCUGUUUCCAUGGAAUAACAGGGCCAGAACCAAACUGCAGCAAGUAUGAGAGGAUGGGGAGAGAAGGCACAACUGACACAAAGCGUGUAUACUCUGCAGAAGUCCUGCUGUGGAGAUCAGAGAAAUCAGAUGAUGGCCCAUGUGGUGAGCAGCUCGCUCCACCACACUCCCUGCAUGAUGUCUGUUUGUCACAGUCCAGAAAGAGCAGAGCCAGGUGACGAUGGGCCGAAACCUCUGAAACCACAGCAGAGUUUGAAGGAAACCCCUGGUGACCAUUAAGUUAUAAAUAUUCUGAUUUCUCCUGGAAAGCAUUCCAAGUAACAAGGAAAAUGGAAAAACAAACGCUCACAUCCUCAGCAAUGGAGACAGAAAAAACCAAAAUCCACAAAUUCCAUAUUAUGAGCAAGUAUGGCAAAGAGCAACAAAGAAAACAGCAAAAUCUACACAGGAAGCCACAAGCAUAAGCAAGGUGUAACUACAACAGAGAAAGAAGAGAGUCACUGCUAUCCAAAAUCUGAAACAAGAGAGCCUCAUACUUUACACAGCUACAUUUAGAAUAACAUAACCCUACUCCAUGAUUGGAAUGAAAAGGAAUUUUGAUAUUAUGCAUGAAAAUAACUCAUAAUACACUUUAAGCAACUAUUUCUGAAACAAGAUAUUCAAAUUAAAAACAAUGACAAGUUUUACUUGUGUGUGUGUGUCUGUGGAUGGGGAGUAAACCCAGAACCUCAGGCAUGCUAGAAACAUGCUUUACCACUCAUCUACAUCCUGAGCACCUCUUGACUUUCUGAGUGUGUGACAUAACUUAGUCAAGACUACUGAAAAUGCCAUAGCAAUCAUUCAGUCAACAAAUAUUUAUGAGCACAUUUUAUGUACUAUUCUAGAUUCAGGAAAAAAAUGAAGAAAACAGGAAAAAAUGCUCAUGUCAGCUGGAUGAUGGCAAUACCCGUAAAUCCCAGCUACUUGGGAGGCUGAGGCAGGAGGAUCAAAAGUUUGAGGACAGACACCCUGGGCAACUUAAUG